rnacentral:rRNA from 1 species
UACGAAGGGUGCAAGCGUUAAUCGGAAUUACUGGGCGUAAAGCGUGCGUAGGCGGUUUGUUAAGUCUGUUGUGAAAUCCCCGGGCUCAACCUGGGAAUUGCGAUGGAGACUGCAAGGCUGGAGUCUGGCAGAGGGGGGUAGAAUUCCACGUGUAGCAGUGAAAUGCGUAGAGAUGUGGAGGAACACCGAUGGCGAAGGCAGCCCCCUGGGUCAAGACUGACGCUCAUGCACGAAAGCGUGGGGAGCAAACAGG